rnacentral:rRNA from 1 species
GCAGCAGGCGCGCAAAUUACCCACUCCCGGCACGGGGAGGUAGUGACGAAAAAUAACGAUACGGGACUCAUCCGAGGCCCCGUAAUCGGAAUGAGAACACUUUAAACCCUUUAACGAGUAUCCAUUGGAGGGCAAGUCUGGUGCCAGCAGCCGCGGUAAUUCCAGCUCCAAUAGCGUAUAUUAAAGUUGUUGCGGUUAAAAAGCUCGUAGUUGGACUUGUGUCCCACGCUGUCGGUUCACCGUUCGUCGGUGUUUAACUGGCAUGCCCGUGUGGACGUCCUGCCGGUGGAUGCGGUCGGCCGUGGGCCUCUGGUCUGCGUGUCGGCGGUCCGAUGCAAUCCUACCGCGGUGCUCUUCACCGAGUGUCGAGGUGGGCCGGCACGUUUACUUUGAACAAAUUAGAGUGCUUAAAGCAGGCAGUGGUUCGCCUGAAUAUUGUGUGCAUGGAAUAAUGGAAUAGGACCUCGGUUCUAUUUUGUUGGUUUCCGGAACUUGAGGUAAUGAUUAAUAGGGACAAACGGGGGCAUUCGUAUUGCGACGUUAGAGGUGAAAUUCUUGGAUCGUCGCAAGACGAACCUAAGCGAAAGCAUUUGCCAUGAGUGUUUUCAUUAAUCAAGAACGAAAGUUAGAGGUUCGAAGGCGAUCAGAUACCGCCCUAGUUCUAACCAUAAACGAUGCCAGCUAGCGAUCCGCCGAAGUUCCUCCGAUGACUCGGCGGGCAGCUUCCGGGAAACCAAAGCUUUUGGGUUCCGGGGGAAGUAUGGUUGCAAAGCUGAAACUUAAAGGAAUUGACGGAAGGGCACCACCAGGAGUGGAGCCUGCGGCUUAAUUUGACUCAACACGGGAAACCUCACCAGGCCCGGACACCGGAAGGAUUGACAGAUUGAGAGCUCUUUCUUGAUUCGGUGGGGUGGUGGUGCAUGGCCGUUCUUAGUUGGUGGAGCGAU